AGUGAACGCUGGCGGUAGGCCUAACACAUGCAAGUCGAACGGCAGCACAGGAGAGCUUGCUCUCUGGGUGGCGAGUGGCGGACGGGUGAGGAAUACAUCGGAAUCUACUCUGUCGUGGGGGAUAACGUAGGGAAACUUACGCUAAUACCGCAUACGACCUACGGGUGAAAGCAGGGGACCUUCGGGCCUUGCGCGAUUGAAUGAGCCGAUGUCGGAUUAGCUAGUUGGCGGGGUAAAGGCCCACCAAGGCGAUGAUCCGUAGCUGGUCUGAGAGGAUGGUCAGCCACACUGGAACUGGGACACGGUCCAGACUCCUACGGGAGGCAGCAGUGGGGAAUAUUGGACAAUGGGCGCAAGCCUGAUCCAGCCAUACCGCGUGGGUGAAGAAGGCCUUCGGGUUGUAAAGCCCUUUUGUUGGGAAAGAAAUCCAGCUGGCUAAUACCCGGUUGGGAUGACGGUACCCAAAGAAUAAGCACCGGCUAACUUCGUGCCAGCCGCCGCCGUAA
rnacentral:rRNA from 1 species